AACGAACGCUGGCGGCAGGCUUAACACAUGCAAGUCGAGCGCCCCGCAAGGGGAGCGGCAGACGGGUGAGUAACGCGUGGGAAUCUACCCAUCCCUACGGAAUAGCUCCGGGAAACUGGAAUUAAUACCGUAUACGCCCUACGGGGGAAAGAUUUAUCGGGGAUGGAUGAGCCCGCGUUGGAUUAGCUAGUUGGUGGGGUAAAGGCCUACCAAGGCGACGAUCCAUAGCUGGUCUGAGAGGAUGAUCAGCCACAUUGGGACUGAGACACGGCCCAAACUCCUACGGGAGGCAGCAGUGGGGGAUAUUGGGCAAUGGGGGCAACCCUGAUCCAGCCAUGCCGCGUGAGUGAUGAAGGCCUUAGGGUUGUAAAGCUCUUUCACCGGGGAAGAUAAUGACGGUACCCGGAGAAGAAGCCCCGGCUAACUUCGUGCCAGCCGCCGCCGUAAAAC
rnacentral:rRNA from 1 species